rnacentral:rRNA from 1 species
UACGGGGGGGGCAAGCGUUGUUCGGAAUUACUGGGCGUAAAGGGCCAGUAGGCGGCCAACUAAGUCGGAUGUGAAAUCCCCAGGCUUAACCUGGGAACUGCAUCCGAUACUGGAUGGCUUGAAUUCGGGAGAGGGAUGCAGAAUUCCAGGUGUAGCGGUGAAAUGCGUAGAUAUCGGGAGGAACACCCGUAGCGAAGGCGGCACUCUGGGCCGGAACUGACGCUGAGGAGCGAAAGCGUGGGGAGCAAACAGG